rnacentral:rRNA from 1 species
AGUGAACGCUGGCGGCAGGCCUAAUACUUGCAAGUCGAACGGCAGCACAGCAGAGCUUGCUCUGUGGGUGGCGAGUGGCGGACGGGUGAGGAAUACAUGGGAAUCUGCCCAGUCGUGGGGGAUAACGUAUGGAAACGUACGCUAAUACCGCAUGCGCCCUUUGGGGGAAAGCCGGGGACCUUCGGGCCUGGCGCGAUUGGAUGAGCCCAUGUUCGAUUAGCUAGUUGGCGGGGUAAAGGCCCACCAAGGCGACGAUCGAUAGCUGGUCUGAGAGGAUGAUCAGCCACACUGGGACUGAGACACGGCCCAGACUCCUACGGGAGGCAGCAGUAGGGAAUAUUGGACAAUGGGCGCAAGCCUGAUCCAGCCAUGCCGCGUGAGUGAAGAAGGCCCUCGGGUUGUAAAGCUCUUUUGUCCGGAAAGAAAAGCAUUCGGUUAAUACCCGGGUGUUCUGACGGUACCGGAAGAAUAAGCACCGGCUAACUUCGUG